rnacentral:rRNA from 2 species
UACGGGGGGGGCAAGCGUUGUUCGGAAUUACUGGGCGUAAAGGGCUCGUAGGCGGCCAACUAAGUCAGACGUGAAAUCCCUCGGCUUAACCGGGGAACUGCGUCUGAUACUGGAUGGCUUGAAUCCGGGAGAGGGAUGUGGAAUUCCAGGUGUAGCGGUGAAAUGCGUAGAUAUCUGGAGGAACACCGGUGGCGAAGGCGGCAUCCUGGACCGGCAUUGACGCUGAGGAGCGAAAGCCAGGGGAGCAAACGGG